AAUGUAAUAAUUAGGUGGGCCCCACAUUUUAUUUAAAGGAGUUCACUUUUGAUAUUUCAUAAGGAUUAAGAGAGUUAUCUUGAGAGGAUGCGGGCAGCAGCGAAACUUGCAAGAAAAAUGAGCAUCAAUACAUUCAUUUUGGAGAAUUAUUCCUUACUUUGAGAAUUCAUAUUUCAACCUUGGAUAUUUUUUUUUAACACAAAACUUUCCAGCAAUUUUAAUCUUGGAGAGGUUAUUUUGGAGAAUAUAAACGAGCAACAAUAUAAGGUUUGGAUGUUACUAUGGAAUAAAGAUUGCUACGGGACUUGACUAGGUAACGAUGUGACAUUGGGGGAGAGCAAGUGAACGAUAACAUAGCUAAACGACAAAGGUAGACAAGGAGGUGAGCUUGGUCCAGACCCUUAGUAACUGUCAGCUGAUUGAGAGCACUCCAUUGUCCGGAGGUGCUUAUGAUUCUUCUUUUGGUAUAUAUGCAUAUUUUGGGCACGACGGAGUCUUGUUCCGUCUAUAUGUUUAGUAUGUCAGUAGAGGCUCGUAGAUACGCAGUGUGGGUCAGAUGGUCUCACAAGAUGUUAUUAUUAUGUAUAUAUUAUUUUGAUGGCCGAGAGGCAAAUGUAUAUAAGUAUUUAUGUUUCUAUAUAAAAUAUGAUUUUCCUACAAUUCGUGUAUAAAAUUGGUAAAAGGGCAUUAAAUGAGUAAGAUGAGUAUUAGAACGAGUGGUGCUCGGUGGCUAGCCCCGGGUACCCGUCACGGCCCCUAGCUGGGUCGUGACACCUUUCCUUCUUAUGGCAUGAUCACUUAGAUACGAACAUACGUACAAACGUCCUCUAUGAUGAUUCUAUUUCUAGAAAAGCUAAAGCUUAUGAUUCUUGAGGUUCAUAUGAUAUUGUUGAUAAUUUCCCCAUAAUUGUUGAUCCUUCUCAUAUGAUUAUUUAUUUUAUUCAUUGAUGUUGAUAUCAUCUUAUGGUAGUUGUUCCUUCAAGGUGAGAUAUAGCGAUGAUAAUGAUUCCAUAAUGGCACAUUGGAGGUUUACCGACCUUACGUCACUCCGAUAAGAGUUAUACCUUUCAUUUGGGCUCUCAUGCAUGCUUUUAUAUCUAUGUAUGUAUUUGCUCACACCGCGCCAUGCUAUAGUCGGCCGGGCAGGCACGUAGAUGUGCACACCAUUGCAGUGGGCAGGUUAUGAUGUUACCCCGGACGCGGGAUUAUGAUGAUAACACCGAGCCUCAAUGGUCGGGCAGGAUAUUAUAUAUAUGUAUGUAUGAAAAUAUUUUUUUUAAAAGCUAAGCAUGCAUGAUAGCUGCCUUAAAAGGCAUUCAGAAGUACAUAUUGAUCUAUUUAUCUUAUGUUGUCUUCAUAUUUUCCUUAUUUAUUUACUCAUGCCUUACAUACUCGGUACAUCAUUCGUACUGAUAUCCUUUUGUUUG